GAUGAACGCUGGCGGCGUGCCUAAUACAUGCAAGUCGAGCGAACAGAUGAGGAGCUUGCUCCUCUGACGUUAGCGGCGGACGGGUGAGUAACACGUGGAUAACCUACCUAUAAGACUGGGAUAACUUCGGGAAACCGGAGCUAAUACCGGAUAAUAUAUUGAACCGCAUGGUUCAAUAGUGAAAGACGGUUUUGCUGUCACUUAUAGAUGGAUCCGCGCCGCAUUAGCUAAUUGGUAAGGUAACGGCUUACCAAGGCAACGAUGCGUAGCCGACCUCAGAGGGUGAUCGCCCACACUGGCACUGAGACACGGUCCCGACUCCUACGGUAGGCAGCAGUCGGGACUCUUCCGCAAUGGGCGAAAGCCUGACGGAGCACCGCCUCGUGAGUGAUGAAGGUCUUCGGAUCGUAAAACUCUGUUAUUAGGGAAGAACAAAUGUGUAAGUAACUAUGCACGUCUUGACGGUACCUAAUCAGAAAGCCACGGCUAACUACGUG
rnacentral:rRNA from 1 species